UCUUUUCCUUUUUUUCCCUCCUCCUCUUUACUACGUAGGUGGCAAGCGUUGUCCGGAAUUAUUGGGCGUAAAGAGCAUGUAGGCGGGCUUUUAAGUCUGACGUGAAAAUGCGGGGCUUAACCCCGUAUGGCGUUGGAUACUGGAAGUCUUGAGUGCAGGAGAGGAAAGGGGAAUUCCCAGUGUAGCGGUGAAAUGCGUAGAUAUUGGGAGGAACACCAGUGGCGAAGGCGCCUUUCUGGACUGUGUCUGACGCUGAGAUGCGAAAGCCAGGGUAGCAAACGGG
rnacentral:rRNA from 1 species